GACGAACGCUGGCGGCGUGCUUAACACAUGCAAGUCGAACGAAGUGGCGAACGGGUGAGUAACACGUGAGUAACCUGCCCUCUUCUUUGGGAUAACGGUCGGAAACGGCUGCUAAUACUGGAUAGUGGGGGAUGGGCUCGCAGCCUAUCAGCUUGUUGGUGGGGUGAUGGCCUACCAAGGCUUUGACGGUUAACCGGCCUGAGAGGGUGACCGGUCACAUUGGGACUGAGAUACGGCCCAGACUCCUACGGGAGGCAGCAGUGGGGAAUUUUGCACAAUGGGCGCAAGCCUGAUGCAGCGACGCCGCGUGGGGGAUGAAGGCCUUCGGGUUGUAAACUCCUUUCACCAUCGACCGGUAGAUGGAGAAGAAGCACCGGCUAACUACGUGCCAGCAGCCGCGGUAAUAC
rnacentral:rRNA from 1 species